rnacentral:lncRNA from 1 species
CAGGUGGCAGGAUAGGGUGGCGUGGGUGGUGAUGUGAUCUAAGAGAAAAAGAUCUAAGUAAAAUCCUUCAGUGUUGAUUUCUCUGUAUUUGAAAUACUGGUUUCGCGUUUCUGCUAAAAUCGAUAAAUGCUAAAUUAAAUCUGUAGAUUUAAUUCAUUCGACAUUCUAAUUCUUAAAUUAAAUCCGUAGAUUUAAUUAGCUUCAAAGUCGGAAGUAAUUCACGACUUAAGCAACAAUGUGAAAU